GAUGAACGCUAGCGGCAGGCUUAAUACAUGCAAGUCGAGGGGCAGCAUGAUUGUAGCAAUACAAUUGAUGGCGACCGGCAAACGGGUGCGGAACACGUACACAACCUUCCAGUAAGUGGGGAAUAGCCCAGAGAAAUUUGGAUUAAUACCCCGUAACAUAACGAUGUGGCAUCACAUUGUUAUUAUAGAUUUUUCGCUUAUUGAUGGGUGUGCGGCUGAUUAGAUAGUUGGCGGGGUAACGGCCCACAAAGGCUACGAUCAGUAGCUGAUGUGAGAGCAUGAUCAGCCACACGGGCACUGAGACACGGGCCCGACUCCUACGGGAGGCAGCAGUAAGGAAUAUUGGACAAUGGACGCAAGUCUGAUCCAGCCAUGCCGCGUGAAGGAUUAAGGUCCUCUGGAUUGUAAACUUCUUUUAUAAGGGACGAAAAAAGGCUUUUCUAAGUCGUCUGACGGUACCUUAUGAAUAAGCACCGGCUAACUCCGUGCCAGCAGCCGCCGUAACAC
rnacentral:rRNA from 1 species